rnacentral:rRNA from 1 species
CGGCGGACGGGUGAGUAACACGUGGGUAACCUACCUAUAAGACUGGGAUAACUUCGGGAAACCGGAGCUAAUACAGGAUAAUAUUUCGUAACCGCAUGGUUCGAUAGUGAAAGAUGGUAUUGCUAUCACUUAUAGAUGGACCCGCGCCGUAUUAGCUAGUUGGUAAGGUAACGGCUUACCAAGGCGACGAUACGUAGCCGACAUGAGAGGGUGAUCGGCCACACUGGAACUGAGACACGGUCCAGACUCCUACGGGAGGCAGCAGGC